rnacentral:rRNA from 1 species
UGCAGAAUCCCGUGAACCAUCGAGUCUUUGAACGCAAGUUGCGCCCGAAGCCGUCAGGCCGAGGGCACGCCUGCCUGGGCGUCGCAC